rnacentral:misc_RNA from 1 species
UCCGGUUUGUCACCGGCAGUCUCCCUAGAGUGCCCUUGCGUAGCAACUAGGGACAAGGGUUGCGCUCGUUGCGGGACUUAACCCAACAUCUCACGACACGAGCUGACGACAGCCAUGCACCACCUGUGCACCGGCCCCGAAGGGCUGCCGUAUUUCUACGACAUUCCAGUGCAUGUCAAGCCUAGGUAAGGUUCUUCGCGUUGCGUCGAAUUGAACCACAUGCUCCGCUGCUUGUGCGGGUCCCCGUCAAUUCCUUUGAGUUUUAACCUUGCGGCCGUACUCCCCGGGCGGCUCACUUCACGCGUUAGCUACGGCACAGAUCACGUUGGUUGUGACCCACACCUAGUGCCCAACGUUUACGGCGUGGACUAC